rnacentral:rRNA from 1 species
AACGAACGCUGGCGGCAGGCCUAACACAUGCAAGUCGAGCGAGGACUUCGGUUCUAGCGGCGGACGGGUGAGUAACGAGUGGGAAUGUGCCCUUCUCUACGGAAUAGCCCUGGGAAACUGGGAGUAAUACCGUAUACGCCCUAUUGGGGAAAGAUUUAUCGGAGAAGGAUCAGCCCGCGUUGGAUCAGGUAGUUGGUGGGGUAAUGGCCUACCAAGCCGACGAUCCAUAGCUGGUUUGAGAGGAUGAUCAGCCACACUGGGACUGAGACACGGCCCAGACUCCUGCGGGAGGCAGCAGUGGGGAAUCUUGGACAGUGGGGGCAACCCUGAUCGAGCCAGGCCGCGUGAGUGAUGAAGGCCUGAGGGUUGUAAAGCGCUUUCAGCUGGGAAGAUAAUGACGGUACCAGCAGAAGAAGCCCCGGCUAACUCCGUG